CACGUAGGGCGCGAGCGUUGUCCGGAAUUAUUGGGCGUAAAGAGCUCGUAGGCGGCCUGUUGCGUCCGCUGUGAAAACCCGGAGCUCAACUCCGGGCCUGCAGUCGAUACGGGCAGACUGGAGUUCGGCAGGGGAGACUGGAAUUCCUGGUGUAGCGGUGAAAUGCGCAGAUAUCAGGAGGAACACCGGUGGCGAAGGCGGGUCUCUGGGCCGAUACUGACGCUGAGGAGCGAAAGCGUGGGGAGCGAACAGG
rnacentral:rRNA from 1 species